rnacentral:tRNA from 1 species
GGAGAGAUGACCGAGCGGUCGAAGGUGCACGACUGGAAAUCGUGUGUGCCGAGAGGCACCGUGGGUUCGAAUCCCACUCUCUCCGCCA